rnacentral:rRNA from 1 species
AGCAGCCGCGGUAAUUCCAGCUCCAAUAGCGUAUAUUAAAGUUGUUGCAGUUAAAAGCUCGUAGUUGAAUUUCGGGAUCAUCAGGUUGGCCGUGCCUCUGGUAUGUACUUUCCUCGAUGGUUCCUCCUUCUUGAAGAUCCGUAAUGCCAUUAAUUUGGUGUUGCGGGGAAUCAGGACUGUUACUUUGAAAAAUUGAGUGUUUGAAGCAGGCAAUCGCUUGAAUACAUUAGCAUGGAAUAAUGAAAUAGGACGUUCGAUCCUAUUUUGUUGGUUUCUAGGAUUGACGUAAUGAUUAAUAGGGAUAGUUGGGGGCAUUAGUAUUCAAUUGUCAGAGGUGAAAUUCUUGGAUUUAUUGAAGACUAACUACUGCGAAUGCAUUUGCCAAGGGUUGUUUC